CCAAAACUCAGAGGAAAAAAAAUCAAUUUUGGUACCCACAUCGCUGGUUAAUGGGUUCUCUCCAAACUAAUGAGAACCACAAUUCAGAUCUCCCAACCAUGCCCAUCGGCGUUUCCUGCAAACCCUCGAUCUCAGAAUCCAUGGCAUAAGCCCCGAAUCCCCAAGUCUCUUCCGACGAAGCCCUAUCCAAUUCAGAUAAGGAGGAGCCGAUCAACGAGGAAGAGGAUAAGGAGGAGCUCGAGGCUGUCGCUCGCUCUGCUGACUCCCACAACGAAGAGGACAAGUCUCAAGUUUGGCAGCCGUGCAAGAGAGAAAGGGGUGUGGAUAUAGAAAUUUGCCGGAGAUGGCGACAAGGAGCAGUGGAGCAACUCGAUUUGGAUUCCUGUCCCGCGGUAUGAUCUGGGUUGGGCUCUAGGGGAGGCCAAUUUUUCCAAGGUCAAGUUUGCUCGGAACAUCAAGAUUGUUGACAAUUUCGCUAUUAAGAUUCUGGGUAAAGAGAAUUCCUCAAGCACUAGAUGAUCAGACAGACAUCUCAUGUUCUUAGGGCUUGACGAAUGAAGGUUGAAGGUUUCCAGGAAUUAAUGACACCGACAACGACCAUCUUGCCUCGUCGGGCUUCUUUUUCGAUCAUCUGGGUGUUCAAUCCAGCUUUGUUUUAGUGAUGAAAGCGAAAGGGGCUUUGUAGAAAUUGGGGAAAUGGGUAGAGGAAUCUGGGUCUGCUUGGGCGGUUGGGGAUCGUGGUGAAAGUAAUGGGAAAAAAAAAAAUUUCUGGAAACUGAUUUGGGUGGAGGAUUUUAUGCUUUUGUUCAACUUGUUAUUGUUACCUUGUCUACGUGGAGAGUUAAAGAGUGGAAGUGAGGAUCUUUGCUAUGGCUUCUGCUCUAAAUAGAUUGUUGCUCUAUUCAGAUUUCAGAGAGUGUAA